UAGAUGGCAGUACAGCAGAUCACACUCAAGACGUGCCGAGACAUGAAUUACCAUUUCUACCACAUGGGAAAGUUACAACAUCCUUCGAUGAAAAUGGACUAGACGAUACUGAUAAUAAUAAUGGUUUUAUGCAAAAUGGCAGUACGGCAGAUCACUGGACGCAUGCUGAGACAUGAAUUAACGUUUCUACCACAUGGGAAAGUUACAACAUGCUACGAUGAAAAUGGACUAGACGAUACUGAUAAUAAUAAUGGUUUUAUGCAAUAUGGACGUAUAUCAUAUCACUCAAGGCAUGCUGAUACAUGAAUUCACAUUUCUACCAGUUAGGAAAGUACCAACAUCCUAUGCUGAAAGUGGACUAGAAGAUAAUGAUAAUGAUAUUGGACUUGUGCAAUGUGCGUGUAAUGGUUAUUGAAUAUAAUUGAUAGUAAAUUAAUUGCAGUGAAACAAUUGAGAUUUGUUAAACAUCUGAAUAAAAUAUUAAUAAACACCUUUA